rnacentral:rRNA from 1 species
CACGUAGGGGGCAAGCGUUGUCCGGAUUUAUUGGGCGUAAAGAGCUCGUAGGCUGUUCGGUAAGUCGGAUGUGAAAUCCCACGGCUCAACCGUGGAACUGCAUUCGAUACUGUCGGGCUAGAGGCAGGUAGGGGAGAUCGGAAUUCCUGGUGUAGCGGUGAAAUGCGCAGAUAUCAGGAGGAACACCGGUGGCGAAGGCGGAUCUCUGGGCCUGUCCUGACGCUCAGGCGCGAAAGCUAGGGGAGCGAACAGG